AUGGCCUCAAGCUGCGCCAGGGGAGGUUUGGAUUGGCCAUUAGGAAAAAUUUCUUCACUGAAGGAAUUCUCAGGCACAGGCAGAGGCUGCCCAGGGAGGUGGUGGAGUCCCCAUCCCUGGAGGUGUUUAAAAGACAGGAGCAUGUCUAUGGUGGUUCUUAGUGGAGACAAGUUCUCAGUGGGCUUCAAGAGAUGAAACCAGCAAAUUCUGAAAGAGUGAAAAGAAUCUCCAUCUGACUGCUGAGAUGUCAAACAGAUUAUGGAAGGAGCUGAGAAGUGGUCAUAUUCAUCAGUGUCAGUAAAAUACUGAACACUUCAUUUAUUCAGCAGAACUGUAAUAGUAAAGACAUUAUCAUUUUUCCUGGCUUACCGAGCUCUUGUUAUCUUCAUCAUCCACAUGUUGUGUGUACUGCAGUGUGGUUUUCUGAGGGCUGCCUUUGACACUCAACAUCAAGCAUUGAUCCUCGUGAGAUAAGAAUUCCUACCCAAUUAGCAAUGUCAAUUGGCUGGAGUGCCCACACUGUGAAGUUUUCAUUUGAUUCAAACGCACAUUUUUUAUCUAAAUCUACAAGCUCACAUUCAUGAAAUCAUAGCUGUGAUGACAAGCCCUUUAAAAUUAGUAAGUUUGCCUGACUAUGGAAGGCAGUGGUGAAUUCAGACAGGCUUAAAUUUGGGGUUAUUAAUAAUUGGAAUAUUGGGUUUAUUAGUCAUGAGACUAUUUCGUGAUGCCUAGUUCUGCGCUGUGACAUCUCAUCAUCUUUCUGUCCUUUUUCCCCAUCAGGUCGGUGCUUCCCCUUACCCUGGGUUGUCCUGGGAAUGACUUGUUCUGAAGUGUGUGGGGAGUUUCAUGUAUCGCAUUAUGUAAAUGUAUCAUGCACUCUGCAGCCGUAGGUCAAAGCAGCCUUUGGUGUAAUUUCUAGUUGCGAUUGCACUGAGUUGAAACCGCUGGUAAUAGUACCAUAUGAUCGGGGUGAAUGUGUGCGGUGUCAUUAUUGAAGCAAUUUCCCUGGUGUCAUUAGUUGUGAGCUUCUCAUUAAUAUGAUUGCUCUGUGCUAAUUUCCUGGAGAGUUCUGCAAUUGGCAAAUAUGAUUUGAUUGUCAGAAAAAUUAGGUAGCUGGCACACAAGAAUUUGGAUUAAAAUGGCUUUAUAUUAUGUGAAUUCAAUUAACUUUAUUUUAUUUUUUAAUUGUUUUUAAAAUAAAAUUAAAGCUUUUUAAUUAAAAAGCAAAAAAAAAAUUAAUGUAGAAUUAAAAGGUAAGUUUGAAGUUUUUACAGAAAUUUCAGUGCAGAUUCACUAGCCCACUUGAAAAAUACCACCUUUCAUGGUUUCGGAAUAAUUUAUGGUCCCUCAAGCCUAAGCCCUGUGCUCUAAGUCAUGUGUUCCAAGUUUUCGUAUGUUCAAUUUUUUAACAUACUUGCCUUAUAUGUCUUUCUCCUUAUGCUAGAUGGUUUGAACUUUGAAGCUCAUUGAUUUGACAUCAGGUUAGUCCUCUGGCUUACCAUCCCCUCCUAUUCCUUCAGUUCUUCGCCAUUUUAUCUAUUUUAUCAGCUGGAUCUUAUUUUGUCCAGGGACAUAAUGGAAAUUAGAUCUGUGACUCCUCUUCAAACCUUUGCCCUAUUGUAGAAUAACAUAAACCCAACAAUAUUAAUUAAU